AGAAUCAACGCUGGCGGCGUGCCUAACACAUGCAAGUCGAACGGGAAAGUGGAGCAAUCCAUGAGUAUAGUGGCGACCGGGUGAGUAACACGUGACUAACCUACCCUUGAGUGGGGGAUAACCUCGGGAAACCGGGCUAAUACCGCAUAACAUCUUCAGGAUGAGAAGCUGAAGAUCAAAGGAGCAAUUCGCUUUCGGAGGGGGUCGCGGCUGAUUAGCUAGUUGGCGGGGUAACGGCCCACCAAGGCUUUGAUCGGUA
rnacentral:rRNA from 1 species